rnacentral:rRNA from 1 species
GCUCAGGAUGAACGCUAGCUACAGGCUUAACACAUGCAAGUCGAGGGGCAGCAUGGUCUUAGCUUGCUAAGGCUGAUGGCGACCGGCGCACGGGUGAGUAACACGUAUCCAACCUGCCGUCUACUCUUGGCCAGCCUUCUGAAAGGAAGAUUAAUCCAGGAUGGGAUCAUGAGUUCACAUGUCCGCAUGAUUAAAGGUAUUUUCCGGUAGACGAUGGGGAUGCGUUCCAUUAGAUAGUAGGCGGGGUAACGGCCCACCUAGUCAACGAUGGAUAGGGGUUCCGAGAGGAAGGUCCCCCACAUUGGAACUGAGACACGGUCCAAACUCCUACGGGAGGCAGCAGUGAGGAAUAUUGGUCAAUGGGCGAGGGCCUGAACCAGCCAAGUAGCGU